UAGGGAAUCUUCCACAAUGGACGCAAGUCUGAUGGAGCAACGCCGCGUGAGUGAAGAAGGGUUUCGGCUCGUAAAGCUCUGUUGUUAAAGAAGAACGUGGGUAAGAGUAACUGUUUACCCAGUGACGGUAUUUAACCAGUAAAAGCCAACGGCUAACUACGUGCCA
rnacentral:rRNA from 1 species